AUACGUAGGGGGCGAGCCUUGUCCGGAAUGAUUGGGCGUAAAGGGCGUGUAGGCGGCCUGUUAAGUCUGAAGUGAAAGUCCUGUUUCCAAGAUGGGAGCUGCUUUGGAUACUGGCGGGCUUUAGUGCAGGGGAGGGUAUUGGAAUUUCCGGGGUAGCGGGGAAAUGCGUAGAGAUCGGGAGGAACACCAGUGGCGAAGGCGGGUAACUGGACUGCAACUGACGCUGAGGCGCGAAAGUGUGGGGAGCAAACAGGAUUAGAUACCCUGGUAGUCCACACUGUAAACGACGAAUGCUAGGUGUAGGGGGUAUCGACCCCUUCUGUGCCGCAGUAAACACAAUAAGCAUUCCGCCUGGGGAGUACGGCCGCAAGGUUGAAACUCAAAGGAAUUGACGGGG
rnacentral:rRNA from 1 species